CCGGGUUUACAACUCCCAAACCCCUGUGAACAUACCUUUAUGUUGCCUCGGCGGAUCAGCCCGCGCCCCGUAAAACGGGACGGCCCGCCGCAGGAAACCCUAAACUCUGUUUUUAGUGGAACUUCUGAGUAUAAAAACAAAUAAAUCA
rnacentral:misc_RNA from 1 species